rnacentral:rRNA from 1 species
UCGGGUUAACCGAAGUAGUGCAAUGGAAACUGGGAGACUUGAGUGCAGGAGAGGGGAGUGGAACUCCAUGUGUAGCGGUGAAAUGCGUAGAUAUAUGGAAGAACACCAGUGGCGAAAGCGGCUCUCUGGUCUGUGACUGACGCUGAGGUUCGAAAGCGUGGGUAGCAAACAG